AAACCAUGCAUAGGACAUUUUCUAAGUAAUUUUUUAAAUCUUUCCCAAACUUCGUAAAACAUUUCAUCCUCUGAUUGCGAAAAAUAUGUUAUGUCAUUUCUAAGCUU
rfam:Gossypium arboreum cultivar AKA8401 contig_35956_1, whole genome shotgun sequence.